UUUCGCACGUAAGUUCUAAAAUAGUCAGACCAGCAGUCUGGCGUGAGUUUUUUUCUGCGACCGUUAUUUUGCAAUCAGUCGCGUUCUAAUUUCCAUGGAGACGCAUGAACCUUGUCAUGUGACAUUUCAGUCAAAAUGGCGCGCACACGAUGGAUAACCGUCUGCAGAACAGCCGCGUGACAAUCCGUGCAUCUCCCCCAGAAACGCUGCGUGACAAUCGGCUUAAUAAUGCUUCAGUGUGUGGUACUCCUCAAAACACGGGACAGCACACAAGGGAGUGUUGCAUGGCACACACAUGUGCUUGGUGAGGCGCCUCUGCUUGCCCUUGCGUGUGCUGGAGAGGCAGACCUUGCAGUGCCGCCUGGUCUUGCUGCCCUGGGAAGUGGUCUGAGGGACUUCAGAUGGGAAAUGCCUGGCUGUAAGGCGCAGAGGAGUGUCCAAGGCAGGACGCCCGCCUUUGGUUGGACCUGUACUCCUCCAGCAGCCCUCUCAUCAGUAAUUUGCCGGUAGACGAUGUGGCUGUUGAGUAAAACCGUGUCGAGUACAUGAAAAAAUACUUUCUUGUACCACUUGGUAGACUUUCUGGUGCAUUCAUGAAAACCAGUCAUCAUAUCAGCUUUGUCAACUGCACCCAUCUUUUUGUUGUACUCCAGCACACAGACUGGCUUCAUCAUUGGUUGCCCAGUGAGGUGAUCCAGCUUGCCUGUGGCUGCCAUACCAGUUGGAUGGACUGUGGUGAACUUUGGCAUCCCUUUUCUGUGUCCGCGCACGGUCCCACAAGCUCCAGUGCCAAGUGACAAGAGGUGCUGGAAAAGUAUGGGACUACUGUACCAGUUGUCAACAUAUAGAACAUGACAUUUGCUUAAGUAAGGUGCUAAGAGUGUCAUCACAACGGACCCAGAAAUCCCAAGUCCUGGGUAAUGUUGGAUGUCAGUGGAGGAUCCGGUGUAAAUGAUCAUGUCCUCCACAUAACCAGUUAGCACAUCACACAAAACAAAAAACUUGAUCCCAAAUCUGUGCCGUUUAGAUGGAAUGAACUGACGAAAUGCCAGCCUGCCUUUCCACUUCAUCAGAGACUCAUCCACACACAGAUCCCUGUAUGGCACAAAAAUGCGACGAAAAGAGGAGGUGAGCGCAGUGAAUAUGUGUCUGAUUUUUUUCAGCGGGUCAUUGGAAACUGCUGUCGCAUUGUUUUCAAAGUGAAGACAGCGGAGGAGCAGAAGGAAGCGAUCCUGUGAGAACAAAGACCCAAAAAAUGGGGUCAAGAGCAUGGGGUCUGUGCUCCAGUAAUCACGAAGUGAUGGUUUUUUGAUCACACCCAUUAAGAGAACUGACACUAAAAAUGUGUACAUUUCAGGGAUAUUUGUUGGAACCCAUUUAACCAGCUUCCCUUUCAUUUCCUUCUCUUGCAAGUCAGAGGCAUAGCGGUUUGUUUCCUCCACAAUUUCUCCCAUGACAUCUUCCGUUAGAAACAAUUUAAAACAAUUUACCUCACUGGGUGAUUCUGGUGGAUUUUGCACACCACAGUGCUGGUUGUUAAAAUUGCCUGGGCCAGGAGGAUAAAAAAGGUUGGUUGCCUUCCACAACAAUGAGUUUAAUGUUACCUCUUCUGCCUCAUUAGGAACUGGUGUCAUCUCUUCGUCUUCAAAGUUGUCCAGAGCUUCAAGAUUUGGGGGAAGAUCCUCAUCACUGUCACUCUCUGCCUCGCUGUCAAAAAUCUCCUCAUCAGAAUUAAAAAAAUUUCCUCAAUUUCCUCAUUUGUCAGUUUUCUUCUUUUGAAUGUAUUAUCUGUCAUUUUCUCUUAUGUUGGUGAACUGGAUUAAAGUUGUCUCUUUAAAUUACAACAAAGGCGAUUGUGAGGUAACGGUGACGUCAGCUUUACAUCAGUUGUCAGCGGGAAAAAAAGACUCGCAAUCCAUGACAGUUAAAAUAUUUUUAUUUUUUUAUACAAAAUAUUUACAAACUUGUAGUUAUUAACAUCGUUAAAUAUAUGUAAGUUAACUCCUAAUGUGGUAUUAAUUUAAGAAAAAAAAACAUGUUUGUUGAUCGGUAAGUUAUCACAUGACGGGCUAUGGGCGCCGCCAUUAUUUGUUUACAACACUGAUGGAGAGUUGGAUUUAGAGCCUGCUGGAUUUACAACAUGCAAGAUCAUCCAUGUUUCCCGAAAUAUAUGACUAACCCCCGCUUCACUGCAUCUCACGCGACGCUCCUGCUUGACGCUCACACGCUGCUUCUGGAGUGAAUGCACUCAUUGAUUAACAUGCACGCACGUCUGAAAAAAUACCCGCUGUUCACGCGUCGCUGACACUUGCGUUGUGAAACAGCUGUUAUCUACAAGGUAUGUGUUUGACUUGAAUAAAUAUUAAUAUUACAUGUUUAAAAUGUUC